UACGUAGGGGUGCAAGCGUUGUCCGGAAUUAUUGGGCGUAAAGAGCUCGUAGGCGGUCUGUCGCGUCUGCUGUGAAAACUCGGGGCUUAACCCCGGGCCUGCAGUGGGUACGGGCAGACUAGAGUGCGGUAGGGGAGACUGGAAUUCCUGGUGGUAGCGGUGAAAUGCGCAGAUAUCAGGAGGAACACCGGUGGCGGAAGGCGGGUCUCUGGGCCGUAACUGACGCUGAGGAGCGAAAGCGUGGGGAGCGAACAGG
rnacentral:rRNA from 1 species